rnacentral:rRNA from 1 species
AUUGAACGCUGGCGGCAGGCCUAACACAUGCAAGUCGAACGAGUGGCGGACGGGUGAGUAAUGUCUGGGAAACUGCCUGAUGGAGGGGGAUAACUACUGGAAACGGUAGCUAAUACCGCAUACCAUCAGAUGUGCCCAGAUGGGAUUGGCUUUUUGUGGGGGUAACGGCUCACCAAGGCGACGAUCCCUAGCUGGUCUGAGAGGAUGACGGGCCACACGGGAACUGAGACACGGUCCAGACGCCGCCGGGAUGCAUCAGUGGGGAAUAUUGCAAAAGGGGCGCAAGCCUGAUACAGCCAUGCCGGGUGUAUGAAGAAGGCCUUCGGGUUGUAAAGUACUUUCAGCGGGGAGGCGUUACCCGCAGAAGAAGCACCGGCUAACUCCGUGCCAGCAGCCGCGGUAAUUC